rnacentral:misc_RNA from 1 species
GGAAAAUGGAAUAUAAUUAUGUACAAGGAAAAGCAAUCGCCGACAGGAACUUUAACAUGAAUACUGUACACUGUCUCCAAAAUUCUGUGAUCAGAUUCCCUUUUAUCUGUGGGUGUGAAUAAAAUAUUAUUUCCUGUUGAAGCUACUGAACACGUACAGCCUAUUUGUUUGGGAUGGGCAUCUGUAAUCGUUCUUUACAACUAACAAUUUAGAGCGUUGCCAGGAUUUGUUCUGCACCGCCGCUAACGUAUGUCCAAGCUCCUGUUGAUUUGUGGUACCAUUGAAGGAACCGUCCUAUUGCUCCCACAUUGAAAAUGUUUGCCACAAGGCCAUUGCGAUUUGGCGACAUUCUUCAUCUUAUGUCCUGGAUGGAAAGAAGCUGGUGCAUUCUCCUUUGAGCCCUUAAUUCAGUUGAUUGAAGUGUUUGCACAUUAAUAAGAAUGCAAAUAAUUACUAUUGAAAAAACUUUGGAGUCUUCAGAUGUUAGGAACUAACCUACAUCAAAUAAUUACUCUACAAAACCAAAAGUUCCAAGGAACUAACCUUUGGAUGCAGUGGCGUUUUUGACCGAUAUAUUGCAUUGGAGUCUUCAGAUGUAAGGAAGAGCUUACUAAAUGCUUCUAUUGGUGGCUCAUUUGAGAAUCUUUUAUCAUUUGGGAAAUUACAUUCCUAGGAAGAAGUAAAAGCAUGGGAUUAAAGCAACCCAAAUAAUCAAAUGAUGACACACAAUCAGAGAGCACAGUCUGGAAGACACUAAUAUCGGCUUACUUGAAAAUAUCUGUGUGAGAUCAAAUAUAGUUCCAGUGGUUAAUAAUCACUAACAGCACAAACUAACAAUAGGCCAAUCAUGAUAUUCAUAUCACCUUUUUAUAAAGAGAACGAGCUUUAAAUUUAUCAAGUGCUUCCAAUUUCUCCUUCAAGGCGGCAGCAGGGGUUACU